rnacentral:tRNA from 1 species
AUUGCAAUAGCUUAAUAAUUAAGAGUAUAAUAUUGAAGAUAUUAUGGUGAUGGAAAUCUUGCAGUA